CUGAGAGCGUGGCUUUCCUGGCUCUAGUGCAGAAUCUCUUUGCUGCCGGCAGAAAGUGAAAGAAGAGCAAAUUGGUUUUGCAAACUCAGUGAGUGCUUCCCCAUGGAGGCUGAGAAAAGCCCCUCCCCCUUUUACUGGAUGAAACCAGCCUGGAAAUCAAGAUGAAUACUCUGAAGAAAAGCAAAGAUUUGGGACCUGCUGGCACCUCGAGUGUAUUAUCUGGAGAGAAAAGUGAGUAAUUGACUGAAGUAGAGAGAAGCAUAUAGGAAA